CAGAUGUGCAACCACUAGCCACUCAAGUGCCCUACUGACUAAGAAUUUAAACGAGAUCAAGCUAUGUUGGAGAAGCCAAGGGAAGUUUUUGAUGUGGGUGCCCUCCUCUGAAUGAAUGAAUUUUAUGGAAUUUUAUUUCUACAAGAUUUGAAAUUAUAGGAUAAUUCAGUUGGAUUUGAGCAUUUAAACAAUUUCCAUAAAUGGAUCAAAAAAGUCUAAUUUCCACAAGGUUCCUCAAAGUGACUCAUUUAGAUGACUAGAUCUUCAUGCUUACUCUGAUCAUUACUUCAUGUUUCAAAACAAAUUUGAAAAAGAAAACCAAAGAACAUAAGAAAACCUCCCAGAGAUUAUAGACUUUGAGCACACUGCAAAUGGCCUAAAAUGAAACUGACAUAUCAAAUGUUUAUUGGGGGAGAGUGCUCAACACAAAAGGAGUGUGUAAAAAAAAUUAUUUGUGAAGAUCACCAAAGGAAUAAAUUUUUUCAUCCAAAAAUAAUCCCACAUCAGCCAUCUUACUGGAACCUGGCAAUUACAAACAGGCAAUAUUCACUCAAUAGUAUGUAUAUGGGGGAUCCCUGGGUGGUGCAGCGGUUUAGCGCCUGCCUUUGGUCGAGGGCGCAGUCCUGGAGACCCGGGAUCGAAUCCCAUGUCGGGCUCCCUGCAUGGAGCCUGCUUCUCCCUCUGCCUGUGUCUCUGCCUCUCUCUCUCUCUCUGUGUCUGACUAUCAUGAAUAAAUAAAUUAAAAAAAAUAGUAUGUAUAUGUAUUUU
rnacentral:lncRNA from 1 species